UCCUAUUGUCGUUGAAUGAAAACCCUAAUUUUCCCCACUGAGACGAAGAUCUGUAUUAUUGAUAAUAAAGCAAUGGUGAAAACUGACUGAGAACAUCACAAUCAAAGACACGAAGCUCAAAAGAAGUAUCAUGUGCGUGUCGACAUCUUACCUUCAAACUCUUCUUGAGCCAGUAGCAGCCGAGUGCCAAAGACCCUCGGGGAGCUACUUCGCCAGAGAAACGGGAGAGAAGCAAGCGGUGUACUUAGAUGUUUCUCCAACCAUGACAAUGAAAAUGAGAGAUGGUUCUCCAACCAUGAACCGGCUCAAAUACGAGGCUCAAAUACAGAUUCUGAGUCACUUGCAACCUGACAAAACAAUGUUAACGAGAUCUGAAGAAUAUAUGAUACUUGGAUCGGAAGAUUGCUAAACAGCGUAGAGUGGAGAGGCUUUUGGUUUGGUUUGAACAAAUAUGUCAUUUUAUGGAGCAUGGGAUAGAUAAAGAGGCGAGUAUGCUGUGAUUGUGUGCAGUUUAUGCAUUUGACUCCGCUCUUAUUCGAAUUCUUGGGUGCAUGGAUCCAUGGUUGCUUCCUUUGAAGCCUCCAGGAGAUCCUGAUUGCCAUAAAAAGAUUGUCAGUGAUUCUUAUCAUAAGGACGUAGUGGAAUAUCUGCAGCUUACUAUGGAGUCUCCCGUAUGUAUCUUUAGCUGCAUUACAUCCAUUUAUACAAUUUACUUGUAAGCUUCUCUUAAUUGGAGGUUGUGUGGAUGAAGCGAUGAAAGUGGUUGAGGAAAUGUCUUUGUUUAAAAAGGUGUCGUCUAGGUUAGCUAAGGAUAGGGGCAACGUCCACCAGAGAGGUUGUCGCCAUCAGUACUCGAAGCCAGGCGAAUUCAAGUAAGUGUGUACCUCUUCACGCCCCAUGCCGCCUUGUAAGCUCACGCCUCAUGCCGCCUUGUAAGCUCACGCCUCUUUAAGCCUCAACGUUUUCUGCAUUUAAAGAAAAUGUUGAAGCGUGUGCUUACUUGAAUUCGACUGGUUUCAAGUUCUCAAGGUGACAACCUCUCUGGUAGAGUUUGCCUCUAGCUUAGGCGAUGCCUUUUGAAACACAUGAGGGUG